rnacentral:rRNA from 1 species
UAGGGAAUCUUCCACAAUGGACGCAAGUCUGAUGGAGCAACGCCGCGUGAGUGAAGAAGGUUUUCGGAUCGUAAAGCUCUGUUGUUGGUGAAGAAGGAUAGAGGCAGUAACUGGUCUUUAUUUGACGGUAAUCAACCAGAAAGUCACGGCUAACUACGUGCCAGCAGCCGCGGUAAUACGUAGGUGGCCAGCGUUGUCCGGAUUUAUUGGGCGUAAAGCGAGCGCAGGCGGAAUGAUAAGUCUGAUGUGAAAACCCACGGCUCAACAGUGGAACUGCAGCGGAAACUGUCAUACUGGAGUGCAGAAGAGGAGAGUGGAAUUCCAUGUGUAGCGGUGGAAUGCGUAGAUAUAUGGAAGAACACCAGUGGCGAAGGCGGCUCUCUGGUCUGCAACUGACGAUGAGGCUCGAAAGCAUGGGUAGCGAAAAGG